GCUGUUAAGGGUUCGUAGUUGAAUUGGGAGCUGCCGAGUAAACAAUGGCGUCUUGCCUUCGGGGGACUCACCAUUGUUCUCGCAGCUCGAGAACAUUCGAAACAAACACCACGGAAUCGUUUCUUCCCGAAUCACGCAUGCAAUGUAUGCAGGGGGACGUCCGUGAUAUUUACUGUGCAAAAGAAGGGUGACCAAAGCAGUCAUUCGACAUGAAUUAGAAAGCAUGGGAUAACAAAGGGCGGCCUACGGGCUUCCAUUUUGGCUUUUGUUGGUUUUAAAGGUCUGUGGGAGAUUAUGGGUGUGUGGACCGGCUGCACGGGAUUCGUUCCCGACAGUCUUCUAGGUUGGCUUCGGUCGUUUAGACUCGCGCCACCCAGGAAUGAAGGAGGGUUGUUCGGGGGAGAACGUACUUGGCGUGAGAGGUGAGAUUCAUAGACCGCUCAAAGACGAACUACAGCGAAGGCAUUCUCCAGGAUACCUUCCUCAAUCAAGAACCAAAGUGUGGAGAUCGAAGAUGAUUAGAUACCAUUGUGUCC
rnacentral:rRNA from 1 species